AGAAGGAAGGUAAAGGACGUCCUUUCGGGAUAAGGAAUCCUGGUUAUACAAGCCGUGUCUUGCUUCUUCUAUCGGCUGGUAGACUGGUCGUAGCAGGUCGGUUGGAGAAGGACGAGGUCGGGGUAUAGGGAAAGAGAAGGCACACAAAUAUACCACUGUGUGCGUUUAAUACUCUUGAAAGAGAAGAGAAAGAGAGAGGGGGAAAGAAAAAGAGAAACGAGAGAAACGAGAAAGCACGAUAUGCGGGAUAUGCCGGAGGAGAAGAGAAAAGAAGAGAAAAGAAAAAGAGAAAGGGUGGGGGGUGAGAGCGAGAGAGAGCAACACCGGUUUUGCUUGCUUCAACUUGUCCGUAGUUGGCAAGACUGCAGAUAGAGGUCGGUACCUUCGAAAUAGCUUUCUUUGUCGUCGUCGUCGUCGUUGCUCGUCGAUCUCGUCGUAUAAAUAUCUCAACGUAUUAUACCUCGAAGGAAAAUCCAUUUGGAAUACAUAGAGAGGUUUGUUUCUUGGGAUACGGCAUGGAAUGCAUACGCGCCGAUCCUUCCAAAGUGAUGAUUCACGCGGUCUCUCUCGUCAGAACGGUAGAAAGGGAGAAUGGGGAAACUACAAGAGAGUGGGCCGUUUAAAUCACGUUGAAACAACUAAAAGGGACGGGCAAGGAUGGGGAAUAUUGAAAAUUUUUCACGACAUAGAGAAAAACAUUGAACACCUGAUGAGGAAAAAGGAAAGAAGUGUCCUUAGAAGGUCGAUGCGUGCGUAUUUUAGAUGGACUCGGAUCUUUUCGCAGGUAGUUUUUAUUGUAAGCCGUUCGCAGGUAAACGAAUUUAUCGCAGCAGGUAGUUUUUCCUCUCCUGUUGCAGGUAAAAUGAUCUAAGGUAACACGAGAAGCUUUGCUUGGAGAUUCUCCUUUUUCAAUAUGGCUUCUUUUAGACCUAUGCGAUUCUUUUGUUUUUUUUAUCUUUCAUCUACCAUGCACAAAAAGUCUAGUAGAGUAAGCAUAGAUAAGUAGAAUGAAAAUUUUUAUUAUUAUUGUUUUUAUUAAAUGUCUCUUUGUUUGAAAUAUCAAUGUGUAAAAAAGUUCUCUAUUUCCUUGUCUGAGAGUAAUAUGAGUAAUAU